ACCGGCGGCUCGAGUGGUAACCGUUAUUAUUGGGUCUAAAGGGUCUGUAGCCGGCCGGAUAAGUCUCUUGAGAAAUCUGGCAGCUUAACUGUCAGGCUUUCAGGAGAUACUGUCAGGCUUGAGGCCGGGAGAGGUGAGAGGUACUUCAAGGGUAGGGGUGAAAUCCUGUAAUCCUGGCAGGACCAACUGUGGCGAAGGCGCCUAACUGGACCGGACCUGACGGUGAGUAACGAAAGCCAGGGGCGCGAACCG
rnacentral:rRNA from 1 species